CUAGGUCAUUUAGAGGAAGUAAAAGUCGUAACAAGGUUUCCGUAGGUGAACCUGCGGAAGGAUCAUUACCUAGAGUUUGCAGACUUCGGUCUGCUACCUCUUACCCAUGUCUUNUGAGUACCUUCGUUUCCUCGGCGGGUCCGCCCGCCGGUUGGACAACAUUCAAACCCUUUGCAGUUGCAAUCAGCGUCUGAAAAAACUUAAUAGUUACAACUUUCAACAACGGAUCUCUUGGUUCUGGCAUCGAUGAAGAACGCAGCGAAAUGCGAUAAGUAGUGUGAAUUGCAGAAUUCAGUGAAUCAUCGAAUCUUUGAACGCACAUUGCGCCCCUCGGUAUUCCAUGUGGCAUGCCUGUUCGAGCGUCAUUUGUACCUUCAAGCUCUGCUUGGUGUUGGGUGUUUUGUCUCGCCUCCGCGCGCAGACUCGCCUUAAAACAAUUGGCAGCCGGCGCAUUGAUUUCGGAGCGCAGUACAUCUUGCGCUUUGCACUCAUAACGACUACGUCCAAAAGUACAUUUUUACACUCUUGACCUCGGAUCAGGUAGGGAUACCCGCUGAACUUAAGCAUAUCAAUAAGCGGAGGA
rnacentral:rRNA from 1 species